rnacentral:rRNA from 1 species
AUGGGAUACGACGGCGCCCCCUCGCCCGCAUCGGCCGCUGCGCGCGACGCCAAGAAGAAGAGGGGUAACCGCUCGUCGGCCAAGCUGAAGCAGUGCAAGCUCGACGCGCGCCGGGAGCAGUGGCUGUCGCAAGUCAAGGAUGGGAAGGAGGCCACGGCCAAGCCUUUGCCAGCGGGCGCAGGAUCAGGGGCAGGGUCGAAUGCUGGGUCGCCAAUCCUUGCUUCGCCACACCCUCCACUCCCCCGGCGGCGCGCCGAUGCAAGGUCAAGGGGUGGAGUUCUGGAGGAUGACAAGGAGGAUGCUGGAGCUACCGGGCAAGAAGUAGGCGGCAGCGACCUUGACUCCCCUAUGCACAGCCCUUGUUCAGACAACUCUCGAGGUGGAGGCUGUGCUCAGAGUAAGCGCUGCUCCAGCAAUGGAGGUGGCCCCAGCCUCAGCAGUGUGAGCAGUCUAUGGUCCAGUUCCAGGAGUGUGAGUGAUGCUGAGGAUGAUGACACGGGCAGUGGCCCUGAGGAGGAAAACGGGGUGCUGGAUGAUUGGGAAGCUGUUGCUGAUGCACUUUCAGUCGAUGAUAACAGUCAUUGCCACCAGAGUUUAGGUACCACGAUGCCCCCAGCAGCUACAAGUGAGUCGGCACCUCUGGCAAAUACAUCAAAAAGAACAGAGCCUAUUCGAAGCAAUGCAAGAGCUUGGACACCAGAUGAUACGUUCCGUCCACAGAGCUUACCCAGUAUCUCCAAGCAGUCGAGCUUCCCAGCGAGGAUUGGCAACUGCUGGGGGAUGGGUAUGAGUGCAGCACAUCAGAGUAUCCUCUCUAUGCCAUUAUCUUGCCCGAUAUGCUACGAGGAUCUUGACCCAACAGACUCGAGCUUCCUCCCCUGCCCUUGCGGGUUCCAUCUGUGUCUCUUCUGCCACAAGAGGAUCCUCGAGGCAGAUGCACGUUGCCCAGGGUGCAGGAAGCUAUACAAUGCAGGGUCUGCAGGAGAAGGAGCGCCAGCACCAGUGCGUCUAUCCCGUUCUUGUAGCAUGGGUCCAAGACACUAG